rnacentral:rRNA from 1 species
GACGAACGCUGGCGGCGUGCCUAAUACAUGCAAGUCGAGCGGACUGACUGGGAGCUUGCUCUUGUUCGGUCAGCGGCGGACGGGGGAGUAACACGUGGGCAACCUGCCCGCAAGACCGGGAUAACUCCGGGAAACCGGAGCUAAUACCGGAUAACACCGAAGACCGCAUGGUCUUUGGUUGAAAGGCGGCGCAAGCUGCCACUUGCGGAUGGGCCCGCGGCGCAUUAGCUAGUUGGUGAGGUAACGGCUCACCAAGGCGAAGAUGCGUAGCCGGCCUGAGGGGGUGACGGGCGACAGUGGGACUGAGACACGGCCCAGACUCCUACGGGAGGCAGCAGUAGGGAAUGUUCCGCAAUGGGCGAGAGCCUGACGGAGCGGCGCCGCGGGAGCGAGGAAGGCCGUCGGGUCGGAAAGCUCAGUUGUGAGGGACGAAGGAGCGCCGUUUGAAGAAGGCGGCGCGGUGACGGUACCGCACGAGGAAGCGCCGGCUAACUACGUG